GGCUCAUUGGUCUAGUGGUAUGAUUCUUGCUUUGGGCGUAAGAGGCCCCGGGUUCAAAUCCCGGAUGAGCCC
rnacentral:tRNA from 1 species